CCCUGAAGCCUUUUUUACACCCGGCCACCUCUCCCCCUGAUUCCUCUCUGUCUCUCGCACUACAGGGUUGUCGCUGCCAACUCCAAUUGCAGGAAGCUCCGGCGGACUCCCAACCCACUGCUCACCGGCCUGCCCCACUCCGUCUAUGUUCUCCUUCAGUCCUUCGCCCGAGGCCACCGCUCCCCUACACGCGCGGCACGCAACAACCCUAGCCGCCACACAUCGCCGGCGUGGCUCCGACAGCUCCGGUUUAUCGGCCCACUACCCCUGCAUCACCUCACGCGCGGCAGCCGGCUCGGGCUUAUGUUGAUCGAUGUACAUCACUUAUGCAUUACAAUCAGGAGAAAUCGAUCCAUGCAGAAGAAGCCUUAAGAAUUAUUUAACUCAUUUGUUUAUAGCUUGGCGAGGAUCCUUUCGCAUGUUACAGUAAGGAAAACAUGAAUUUGUAUCUUAUUCUUUUUUCUGGUUGAUGUAAUAUUUGUUUUCCCUGGACAAAAACUUAUGUUAGUUUCAGUUUCUUAUUCAGUUAAAAUUUGCACACUACAAUCUUGAAGUUUAUGCAAGAGCUCAGAUGGAAAUAAUUCUUACACUCAUAUUAUCCAAUAUAAAUUGUUAAAUAAUUGAUAAAGUUUGAAGGUGCGAUACAAGAACAUCAUACCUUGAUAUUCUUGUCAUAUGUAUAUGACUCAUAUUGUUGAAAUCUCACCUCUAAAUCGAGUUUAGUGCUCUUUUUUUGGAAAUACAGGUACUUCUGAAUUCCUGCAAUUUCUGUACUAAUUUUGUAUUUUGUGAGGAGCCACAGAUGUUUACAAAUACUAGAAUGAUGCAUGAUGGGUCGCACACAAACUCUUGACCAGGUGCCUCUCACAUCUUCUCAUGUUUGUACUAUAUUCUUCUUAAACUGUUAACACAAUGAGCAUGUACUUGGUUCAUCCAAGAACACAAUGAGCAUGUACUUGGUUCAUCCAAGAACGUAAACAUUAAAAAUAUUCCUCUUGUGCACUCUCCUUCCCUGACAUACAGGGCACACUACGGUGGUUGGAUGAUACUAACAACCAUAAACAGACAGCUAAGCGAUCAGAUGCGACGACUGUGCGAGUGUGUCAGGUACGUCGAAUUCACUGAUCCGAAACUAUUGGAUCUUACUAGGAUCCCCUCUUCUCUGUAAUACUCAGGGCCUUCUCCUCUACCUAUUCGGCCAACAGUUUCAGCAUCCAGCAACCAUGGUGACAAAGAUGAGCGUACUGGAACUGCUCUAAGUUUCCACGUUCUCGGUAAACAAGCUACAGAGACUCGAUUGUUCCAAGUCGAUGUUGUUGGCGCUAAAACAUAGAAGACUACUAGUGCCAAGCUGGAUUUACUAGGAGAUAGAUUCCAAUAUUCGAUGGUGCAUGUCUCAGAUGUUGGUUGCAAGGUCAAGAAUAGGGGUGCUACUAGAUAGUUUCACAUUGUGUCUUAGAAUGCCAUUUCCAGUGCCAAUGUUUCAAUCAUUAUGUAUCUGAUAUUUUUGGUGUCAAUGUUAGAUCAUUAUGUUUCAGAAUGGCUGACACGUAGGUUGCAAGGUCAAGAAUGGGAUUACUACUAGUUUCACAUCUUGUAAUCUUUGUAUGGUGUACUUUGUAAUGCAACCAAGUUGAUUUAAUAUAUGAGAAAUUUCUGUUUA